AAUUAAUCUAUAUAUCUCUCCCUACAUCUUUCCACGCUACCAAAAUUUUCAAACCCUAAUCAUUUUUACUUUUCCUUCUCUGUAAAUAUCUUCAUUCCCUCUUUCUUCUCUCUCAUUUGUGCCGUCACUGGAGCAUCGUCGGCGUUAACACCUUUGGUCAGUCAACAUCUGGGAUCUGCAGUCACCAAAGGGGGAAAAAAAGAGUCGACAACGUAGCAACGAGCCUUCGACCAUGGUGACGUGAGAUGUGGCGCUGCCAUUCGUAGAUCUGCUUCAAAUUUCUACGAUUGAGCCUUCGACCAUGGCGCCGCCGCAUUGAGAAGCGGCCAGAGGUAGUUAGAGUAGAGCCAUCGGAAGUCGCCAAACAUUCUAGUUUUUGGAUAUGAUUUGAGAGUGACCGCAUACAACCAUCGGCAUUCUGGUUAUGGUGACGGUGAAGUGACAGUGUUUGUUGAUCUGAUUUGUUGGUGAUUUUUUGGCGACGAUUUUGUUAGAUAUUGUUGGCGGUGGUUUUAUUGGUGGUUGGAACCAUGGUUUUGUUGGUGUUUUGGGUAGCGACUGGUGUGCCUGUGAUCUGAUGUUUGGGUAGGCGGUGCUAGAUCUUAUUGGUGGUGAUGGUGGCUAUGGUUUUGUUGGUUGUUAUGGUGGUGAGAAGUGGUUUUUAAGUUGAAAAUGGAAGUUUAUUGGAAUAGCGGUGGUGUUGGUGGCGCUAGUGGUGGUAGGUUGGACUGCAUUCGAUUGGUGCCAUGUGGAUUGAGGUUGCAUGGGGUAGGUCGUGGGAUUAAGAGUGUCUGUGACCACUUAUUUGAAAUUGUGACUAAUAAAUUAGAUAUUUUGUGAUAAAAAAAAUAAAAUUUGAUCGAUAAAUUGUGACCAAUAAAUAAUAUGUAACUUAAAUUUUGAAUUGUAAUUUAUAAAAUUUGUGAAUUGUGA
rnacentral:lncRNA from 1 species